rnacentral:misc_RNA from 1 species
ACGGCCACUGCGGUCUCGUCAAGGACGGCCGUAUCCUCAAUGACGAGACCUUGGAUUGCCUUAAGAGAAUGGCUCUGAGCCAUGCACAAGCGGGAGCCGACAUGGUCGCUCCGUCGGACAUGAUGGACGGGCGCGUCGGGGUAAUCCGUGGAGCGCUGGAUGCGGAAGGGUUUGACCACGUUGCGAUAUUGGCAUACGCAGCAAAGUUUGCGUCAUGCCUGUAUGCCCCAUUUCGCGAAGCCGCAGCCUCCAGCCCCGCGUUUGGCGACCGCCAGACAUAUCAAUUGGACCCCGCAAAUUUUCGCGAAGCUCUGAAGGAAAUUAAGUCCGAUAUCGACGAGGGGGCGGAUAUUGUAAUGGUGAAGCCGGCGCUUCCGUAUCUGGAUGUGAUCCAUGCUGC